GCCCGUUUAGCUCAGCUGGUAGAGCGCAGCACUCGUAUCUUAUCAUGUGCGAUGCUGAGGUCGCUUGUUCGAUCCAGGCAGGGGGCA